CCCUCGGAGAAACCCAAAUCCCAAAAUGCGCCUUUUCCCAAAUUGUCGCCCCAAGGUCCUGGGCGGCGGGUUUUCCGGCUGCAGCGUUCCCCGGGGGAGUCACCCAUCCGAACUCCUUGCUCCUGUCGGAAUGCUCAGGCCCACAGCUGAGAUCUCCCCGAACCCGUGGGCCCCGAGGGUCAGCAGGGGCGCUGGAAACUGCAGAAUCCCUUAGACAAGAUGGAGACUUGUUGGCUGAAUGAUCGCAUAUGAAGAAUGCUGCCGGUUCAUCGAUGUUGACUCACAGAGACUUUACUAAAGUUAUGUUGAUUUUAUCCUUGGCCUCUUUCUGUUCAAUGACUUUAUGGAUGAUUUAGAUACAACCUUAAAAGGCAUACUUAACAAAUUUACAGAUGACAUAGAUCUAAGAAUGAUAACAAACAUGGUAGAAUGUCAUCAAACUGCAAAAUGAUCUGCAUGAGCUGGAACACUGGAUCCAAACCAACAAAAUCAAAACUACCAAAUGUAAAAGUUAUACAUUCACUUUAAAAAAAUCAAUUGCCCAGAGACAAGAGGAGUAAGUGCUAUGUGGACAGAAAUUCACACAAAAAGUUCUGAAGAUUUUGUUAAACACAAGGUCAAUAUGACAAUAGUAUGUUAUGGCUGCUAAAAAAAAACCCCCAAACAGUGUAAUCUUAGAAUCUAUUAAAAUCGGUAAAAUAUCUA